CUUGACCUCGGAUCAGGUAGGK
rnacentral:rRNA from 1 species